rnacentral:rRNA from 1 species
UUUAGACAUUGUACCAACGGGCGGCGCGAGCGUAAGCCUCUUGGAAUAGAAGCGUCNUACCUGGGUGAGAAUCNUGUGUUUCGCUUGAUGUCCGCCGUGCACGGUACUUGCUCACAGAGUCACGCUCCUCGGAAUUGGAGCGUAAAUUGGGUGGUAAAUUUCAUCUAAAGCUAAAUACAGGCUCGAGACCGAUAGCAAACAAGUACCAUGAGGGAAAGAUGAAAAGGACUUUGAAAAGAGAGUUAAAAGUGUUUGAAAUCGCUGAACUGGAAGCGAAUGGAACUAGUGCUCUGGCUGAGAUUGCUGUAAGUGGCAGCCAAAUUUGGGUGUCUGAACGCAAGUCUCUCACCUGGCUGUAAGCUGUUGCUUGCAAUGUGUCUCAGCUUGAAUGUCAAUGUCUAUGCGCGCAUGAGGAUGGCCUCUGGCUCAUGCUAUCUUGCUGCGGCGAGAUUCUUGUGCCUCUGGGCCA